UUUUUAGAAAAUGAUUUCACAAAAAUAGAGUGUUCAUGUAGUUGCAUUGCAUUUAGGAUCGAGUCUAGAGUGUUUCGUUUAGGAUUGUUGCAUAUGCAUAGGGGAUAAUGAAGAGAUAGCCUUGUAAGCAUUUUAGUUCACCAGAUAAGCUCAGUGCCCUCGUUGUUAGUUGUUUGAUGCGUUGUCAUUGAAAUUGAAGUAAAACUGCACCAUGCCUAGAUUGCUCUACUCGACCACACUGUUAGGAUCUGAUAUCAUUCCCUAUCAAUUUGAACUUGAAUCUGAUUUAGAAUUAUCAUGUCUUGGCAUCGAAUUUGAACUCAUGGAUACCCUAAAAUACUUGGAUUUUCUUACUCAUUUUAACCACUCUUGUUGAUCCAAGUAGCUGACUCUCCUUAUUACAGCAGUUAACCCAUACCCAAACCUGAACUUUCUUUCAAGCCCUAUAUCACUUGUGAGUGUUUGUGAGGUCUUAUUUCGAUUGAGCUUGGUAGAAAGUGUUAGGUUCGUAACGACAGAGAUAGUGUCUCAUGUAGUUCUAGUUCGCGUUCUUCGGACUGGAUAGGACUAGGUGGGCGCUUAUAUCAUGGGUUGGGAUGUGUUUAAAAGAAAAGAGGGAAUUCAUUGUUGAUGAGGAAAGGGAAAGAAUUCUAGGGGAAGUAAGCUAAAGAAGUUAGAAAAAAAAAAUCUAGUAAAGGUUUUGGGAAUGUUAAAGAAAAGAAUGAGGUUCUUGUUAGCUAAAGAAGAAGGGUUAAAAGCCUUUGGUUUUAAAGAUAAAAAAAAACAGGAACCUUAGUUGUUAAAGAAAUCCAAACCCGCUAGAUGUAUGAGAGCGUUGAGAAAGCUUCUCCUAGAGUUAAGAGAAAAGAAAAGAAUGAUAUGAAAAAGAGUUUGAAAGAUUCAUGAGUGCAAAGGGUAGAGUUAAGUUGGGACAGGAGUUGGGAUUACCAUUAGAACUUCAUUGUUAUACUCUGGGUAGAUGGGAUCUUAUCUCUAUAUGCAUAACUUGGGACUUACCUUUAGCAUUCUACUAAAGCUCAAUCAUUCUUGAGGUAUCCCCUGUUACUUAAGCCUAUUGUGUAAGGGACCAUCUUUGUCUCUUGACCUUCACCUUAGCCAAAUGAGUUCAUUGAUGAUGCACUGCUUGAUUCACGUUCCAGAACUAAUGAAUGUUAAAGGGAUUGGUAGAUUUGAAAGCAUGUGUAGGUCGAGUAUAAGAGACGGAUUGAUUGAUAACAAGGCAGGGCUAACGUUUUUGAGUAGAAUUCAAUCAUAUCGCAUCUUAGAACUACCAACUUGGACAUUAAUUUUAUUUGCUCUAUCAUAUGCUUUGGUUCUGAGUCCCCGCCUUCACUCCUCUCCUUCAACUAUGUCUUCUUAUUUGCUUGAGGGCAAGCAAAGACUAAGUUUGGGAGAGUUGAUAUGUCUAUAAUUUGCAUGUUUUCAGUGUCCAUUCAUCAUCGUUUUGAGUCCAGUUUCGUAUCAUUCAUCACUGUUUUAUAUCAUUUCUCAUCAUUCUUGCAUACUUUGCAUGAUUAGGAUAGCUUUGCAUACAUAUUGCAUUUCUGAGUUGUUUUCAGGUGAUUUGGAGCUGUUUGCAAGCAAAUUGGAAGAAACGAGCCAGAACCAGAAGACAUACUCGACCCCCAGGUCGAGUGACUUUGGAGCCAUUCUUCCCACAUACUCGACCCCCAGGUCGAGUGACUUUGUAGCCAUUCUUCCCAUCCACUCGACCACCGGGUCGAGUAACCUCAGCUCAGGCGACUCGAUGACACUACUCGACCCCCUGGUCGAGUAUCACUUCGCCACACCACCUGACAACACUCGACCAAUCACUCUACCAAGUUACUCGACCCCCUGGUCGAGUAUCAUCACUCACCACCAUCAGCAUCACUCGACCGGACACUCGAUCACGUCUUCACAGUCUACUCAAAUCCGCACUCAACCAGACAAGCUGAGCACAAGGAGGAGAAGAGGAGAAGACAAAGUGUUUGGAAGCGCCUGGACCUCCAUCGGAUCACGAAGUCCAUCUCGGCCCAUUAUCUCUCUAUGGGCCGAGCGAUUAGGUUAUUGGCCCGUCUACUAUCAUUUUAUUUCGUUUUGUAUAAAUAGAUGUCUUAGGGUUCUGUCCUGGGACAUCCAGUCGACAUUGAAUUUUUCCUUCAGUUUUAUUUUCUGUUUUACUCUGUUGCGCCGUUUUUGCUUCUGCAACCUGUAAUUCGAGAUUUUUCCAAGUUAUUCAGAUUCCGCAUUUGAUUUCAUCUGUCAUCUUGUUUCUCUACUCUUUAUCUCUUUACUUAUGCAAUAUUAUCGUUUAUCUGCGUUUAUAUCUUUGAGCAUGUUGUCUGAGUAGUGACUUAGAAUUCUUAGGGAUGGGAUAAAGUAGUUGUGGAAUUCGUAGUCUGUAGAAUGGUUAAGUUUUAGAAUUAAUUGAAUCCCUUUAGGACUAGUUGCGUUUACUGGUUAAUUCUUUCUGAUCAACUGGAAUUCGAUCCCAAGCAUUCCCGCACCCAGAAGGUGUUCGAUGGAAUGCUUGAUCCACUAGUUCCUGAGAUAUGCGUCUCUAUCCCAAGGGAUUGGCUGUUUAGAGCGUUUAUUGACUUUAUCAGUAUGUUCUUAUUGCCUGCAUAGUUAGAUUCCGUUAAUGGGAAUUAGUCUGGGUUAGCUUUGCUUGAGGAUUUCUAUCACGGGAGUGAAUUGAUCUGUUGUUGAACCUGUUGUCUAGUGAUAGCUUGAUUGCGCUUGUUAACCAUUCGAAUAGGCUAGGAUACCACUCUACUCGAUUACCCCAUCCUUAGGAAUUUCUCGUCUAUCUUAUUUCUCUGUUUUAUCGUUAUCGCUUAAUCGUUCUCAUUGCCUGUUUCUUAGUUUUUACAAUCACUCGACCAACUUACUCGACCACACCCAGUGUCUGGCAACAGACUGUGCAGUCGAGUAAGAUUGUCUUGUUUCCUGUCUGUUACUCGUCCAGUAUACUCGACCACACCCAGUGUCUGGCAACAGACUGUGCAGUCGAGUAUAGCUGUUUCAUAUCCUGUCUGUUACUCGACCUGUUACUCGACCACAUCCUACUUCUGGCAUCAGCCUGUUGUGGUCGAGUGAUUUUAGUAAUUCUGUUAUUGCUUCUGUUUUCUGCAUGUUCGCUUAGGACUGUUAGAAACCCCAAAACUGUUAUUGCUUGGCUUGACUUAGUGACUUCUGAUCACAUCUCAUCUGUUUGCAUCACACCCAUUUGGAUUGACACCUAAAAUACUACAAUGACAUGAAUUGUGUUUUAGGAUAAUUGAUUAAAA
rnacentral:sRNA from 1 species